CACGUAGGGGGCGAGCGUUGUCCGGAUUUAUUGGGCGUAAAGAGCUCGUAGGCGGUUCGAUAAGUCGGACGUGAAAUCUCCACGCUCAACGUGGAGGGGCCGUUCGAUACUGUCGUGACUCGAGUCCGGUAGGGGAGUGUGGAAUUCCCGGUGUAGCGGUGAAAUGCGCAGAGAUCGGGAGGAACACCCGUAGCGAAGGCGGCACUCUGGGCCGGUACUGACGCUGAGGAGCGAAAGCGUGGGGAGCAAACAGG
rnacentral:rRNA from 1 species